rnacentral:lncRNA from 1 species
UCCUUUGUUUUGUGCCAGUCUUGCAUGGAUUGCUGGAUCAUGCAAUUGGGACCAGAUGAGUGAUUGAACUGGCUUUUACUUUUUGCUUGACUGCCAGGUUUAACAGUGGAUACAACAGUCCCAUAACUGUGACAACAUCUGGCCAUCUUGGCAGGGCAAGUCUAGUCUCUCUGCAUUGCUUUAUCCUACCUUCUGGAAGUGCAUAAGGAAAUCGUCAGUUUUUAUUUCGUUUGCACCUGUGACCCUACUUCUGGGUAAAACCUUUGAGGAAAAGCUGAAUUGUGUAGCUGACAGAAGCAGCAUAGCUGUCCUAGAACAUCAGACAGGCAAAAGAGCAGUAUCAAACUUGAAUAAAUCAACUAUGGAUGCCCGUUUUUUGAAUAAGUUUUGAAUAUUCUGCUGACAGACUGAUUUCUUCAUCUUAAUGGUGAUUUUCCAGCUUAGUAAAGUUUUCCCUUUGUUUCUGCAUUCCAAAGAGGCUCCAGCUGCACACCUCAUAAGCUGGUGUUAUAAAGAGAAGCUCAAGAAACUUUUAGAAAGUUCACAAGCUGGGAAUAUUUUCACUCAACACAAUAACAGGACCAUUCAUGUGCUUCUGCUGGGAGACAUAUCCUGUACUGCUUUACCUCUC